rnacentral:rRNA from 1 species
GACGUACUGCGCGAACGUUAUUCGGAAUCACUGGGUUUAAAGGGUGCGUAGGCGGCCAGGUAAGUCAGGAGUGAAAGUUUGCGGCUCAACCGUAAAAUUGCUUUUGAUACUGCCAGGCUAGAAUUAGGAUGAGGUCAGCGGAAUGUGGCAUGUAGCGGUGAAAUGCAUAGAUAUGCCAUAGAACACCAAUUGCGAAGGCAGCUGGCUAGACCUGGAUUGACGCUGAGGCACGAAAGCGUGGGGAGCGAACAGG